rnacentral:rRNA from 1 species
GAUGAACGCUGGCGGCGUGCCUAAUACAUGCAAGUCGAGCGAACGGACGAGAAGCUUGCUUCUCUGAUGUUAGCGGCGGACGGGUGAGUAACACGUGGAUAACCUACCUAUAAGACUGGGAUAACUUCGGGAAACCGGAGCUAAUACCGGAUAAUAUUUUGAACCGCAUGGUUCAAAAGUGAAAGACGGUCUUGCUGUCACUUAUAGAUGGAUCCGCGCUGCAUUAGCUAGUUGGUAAGGUAACGGCUUACCAAGGCAACGAUGCAUAGCCGACCUGAGAGGGUGAUCGGCCACACUGGAACGGAGACACGGUCCAGACUCCUACGGGAGCCAGCAGUAGGGAAUCUGCCGCAAGGGGCGGAAACCUGACGGAGCUGCGCCGCGUGAGUGAUGAAGGUCUUCGGAUCGGAAAUCUCUGUUAUUAGGGAAGAACAUAUGUGUAAGUAACUGUGCACAUCUUGACGGUACCUAAUCAGAGAGCCACGGCUAACUACGUG